AUCUAAUUAACAUGAACAAUUGAAGAAAGAAGAAGAGGAAUAAUUUAGAAAUAAAUAAUUAUUAUAAAUAGGCACAAAUCAAUAGCUUUUUUUAUAAUGAUUUUAAAAAAUACUAUAAAUGUAUUGAAAAAGAAUACACUUGUAACGUUAAUGUAAAACAUUACAAGUUUGGAAUAUAUAGGUAUAUUUCAUUCGAAGAUUCUAAAUUAUUAACUCAUAUGGAUCACUACAAACUCGUUACCCAUGAAAAUCGUCAUUAUUUGUUUGUAACACCACUUACGAUUCGAUUUACAAGAAAAGAAAUGAAAUAAAAUGAGGCAAUACAAAAUUUGUAAUUCUUUAUAUAAAAACAUGAUAUAAAAAAUUAUCAAUUUUAUUAAAAAGGAUUAUUAUCUUUUUAUUUUUAGUUUUAUCUAUUUUCUUAUAUAAUCGGAAUCUCUAUACCGGAAAUCCUAUCCAAAUUUAAUUUGUCCAAGAAGAGACACGAGGAUACGAAACGUGAUUAAUUCCAUAUUUUCAUAGUCUCAUUUCCCAUUUCCGUAGCAUUCGCGCAUAAAGUUUGAGGUUUAUUGAAGAUAAUAAACAUGUCAAUGUUAGAUUUAAAAAUAACGUGUUCAUAUAAAGCUGUAAAUAUGGGACGUUCAUACAAAAAAUGUAAAGUACGUAGAGGCAUGUUAUUUUACCAUUUGGUGCAAUCUCGUAAAAACAAUUUAUGGAGAAAAAUAAAAUAUCCAAAUAAAUGUGACAAAAUUGACAAAGUAUUGUUGAAGGUAUACGACCGUAUGUUAAAUAAUACACGUAGUGAAAAGGUUAAAAGACAACGAAAUAACUUUCAAGUACCAUGUAGAAUAAUAUCAAUAGUAUCUUUGGAAACAAUUAAAAACCUAUGUGUUCCUAUAAUGGAAGAUUGGAAAGAGGAAAAUGUAGCAACCUAUGACCCUUGGAAAAGCAUUGAGGAUAGAAAUAUUAUACGAAGCUUAGUAGGAGGCACAAAAGCAGAAAGGAAGCAAUCUAGAUUAGCUGAACGACAAAGAAUCCAAAACUUUGAAGAAAGAAGUAUGUUGAAUUCAAAUCAAAAAACCAGCUUUGUAUAUAAAACAUCAAAGAAAGUUGUAGAUAUUACACAAGUUGUGGAUGAUUUGAAAAGAUUAUACCUAAAUAAUUUUAAAGAUAUUGAUAUUAGUACAUUGCAGAAUAUCAAUAUUAACAAACUAUCUAUAAGCAACAUUGAUAAAAAGAACACUUGUGUGGGAAAAGAUGAUAAGGCAGGGGUUAUAGAACAGGAAUUAGUACAAAAAUUCAAAAAAUUGAUGCUUUAUCACUUCACAAAAUAAAUUUUUUAAAACUGGCAAACUAAGAGAAUUUAAUAGUAUUAUUUACUUUUAUUUAAGAAAGUGCAUAUUUCCUGAGACAUCCUUUAUAUAAAAAUUGCCUUAAUUAUAAAAUUUACAUUCACCAUAUUUGUGUAUUUUACUAUAUGUAUGAUACAUAUAUGUACACUUUG